rnacentral:rRNA from 1 species
UCCUGGCUCAGGAUGAACGCUAGCUACAGGCUUAACACAUGCAAGUCGAGGGGAAACGACAUCGAAAGCUUGCUUUUGAUGGGCGUCGACCGGCGCACGGGUGAGUAACGCGUAUCCAACCUGCCCACCACUUGGGGAUAACCUUGCGAAAGUAAGACUAAUACCCAAUGACGUCUCUAGAGGACAUCUGAAAGAGAUUAAAGAUUUAUCGGUGAUGGAUGGGGAUGCGUCUGAUUAGCUUGUUGGCGGGGUAACGGCCCACCAAGGCUACGAUCAGUAGGGGUUCUGAGAGGAAGGUCCCCCACAUUGGAACUGAGACACGGUCCAAACUCCUACGGGAGGCAGCAGUGAGGAAUAUUGGUCAAUGGACGAGAGUCUGAACCAGCCAAGUAGCGUGCAGGAUGACGGCCCUAUGGGUUGUAAACUGCUUUUAUAAGGGAAUAAAGUGAGUCUCGUGAGACUUUUUGCAUGUACCUUAUGAAUAAGGACCGGCUAAUUCCGUGCCAGCAGCCGCGGUAAUACGGAAGGUCCGGGCGUUAUCCGGAUUUAUUGGGUUUAAAGGGAGCGUAGGCCGGAGAUUAAGCGUGUUGUGAAAUGUAGAUGCUCAACAUCUGCACUGCAGCGCGAACUGGUUUCCUUGAGUACGCACAAAGUGGGCGGAAUUCGUGGUGUAGCGGUGAAAUGCUUAGAUAUCACGAAGAACUCCGAUUGCGAAGGCAGCUCACUGGAGCGCAACUGAUGCUGAAGCUCGAAAGUGCGGGUAUCGAACAGGAUUAGAUACCCUGGUAGUCCGCACGGUAAACGAUGGAUGCCCGCUGUUGGUCUGAAUAGGUCAGCGGCCAAGCGAAAGCAUUAAGCAUCCCACCUGGGGAGUACGCCGGCAACGGUGAAACUCAAAGGAAUUGACGGAAGGGC